rnacentral:rRNA from 1 species
UACGAAGGGUGCUAGCGUUGUUCGGAAUCACUGGGCGUAAAGCGUGCGCAGGCGGACUUUUAAGUCAGGUGUGAAAGCCCAAGGCUUAACCUUGGAACUGCAUUUGAAACUGGAAGUCUGGAGUAUGGGAGAGGAUAGUGGAAUUCCUAGUGUAGAGGUGAAAUUCGUAGAUAUUAGGAGGAACACCAGUGGCGAAGGCGACUAUCUGGCCCAUUACUGACGCUCAUGCACGAAAGCGUGGGGAGCAAACAGG